CUUCCGUAGGGUGAACCUGCGGAGGGAUCAUUACCGAGUACUAUAACUCAUAACCCUUUGUGAACCUUCAUACCUGUUGCUUCGGCGGCGCGCCUCUCGGGGCGUGCCCGCCGGCAUUAUCAGAAUCUCUGUUCGAACCCGACGAUACUUCUGAGUGUUCUAAGCGAACUGUUAAAACUUUCAACAACGGAUCUCUUGGCUCCAGCAUCGAUGAAGAACGCAGCGAAACGCGAUAUGUAAUGUGAAUUGCAGAAUUCAGUGAAUCAUCGAAUCUUUGAACGCACAUGGCGCCUUCCAGUAUCCUGGGAGGCAUGCCUGUCCGAGCGUCGUUUCAACCCUCGAGCCCCCGUGGCCCGGCGUUGGGGACCUGCCCAGGCAGUCCCCGAAAACCAGUGGCGGACCCGACGGGCCCUUCCUUUGCGUAGUAACAUCUGCCUCGCAUCGGGAGCCCCCGGGCUAUCCGGCCUCUAAACCCCCCUCAAGCCCGCUCCGGCGGCACCAAGGU
rnacentral:rRNA from 1 species